GUGCGUCGGACAGAUUCGACUAUCAGCCCAAUUGCCAACAUUGCAGGAGACAAAACUUGGUUGGAUAGUGUUGUCGAGAAAAAUUAGCUUAUAUAUACUUAGUUUUAAGCAAGGGCACAGAUACCCUACAUAAAGAAAAAAGAGAGAAGAAAAAUGGCCACACUAUGAAAAGACAAGAAGGUCACAUUAGUUUGAGCAGUCGAAGAAAGAGCGGGGAGAAAAGACGAAGCGAAAUAAAACGCAACCAACGCCUAAGUACCUAUGAAGAUAA